rnacentral:tmRNA from 1 species
GGGGUUGACUGGAUUUGACAGCGGGUAGAAAUGGUACGUAAGCACGCGGAGUGACGGCUGUAAACUCCUAAAUCCAUUCGGUCGAAAAAUUAAUUGGCAACAACAAGUAUGCUCUCGCUGCCUAAUCGAAGUACAGUAGAUUACUGGCUCAAUCCGGUUACGAGGUAGCUGGACGAGACGUCGCUCCGGGGAUGUAGUCCCGAAUCUCCCGGGUCCAGCGGCGCAGGCAAAUCGGGAAUAGUCGGUGUAGGCCCCGAUGCACCGGUGAAAUUUAGGGGAUAAGGCCGCGGUUGGUGGUCCAGGUCUUGCCACGGCACGAAAAUGAAGUCUGGAAUAAGCGUGUAGAAAGCGUAUGGUUUCCUCGUUUGGACGCGGGUUCGACUCCCGCCAGCUCCACC